GAUGAACGCUGGCGGCGUGCCUAAUACACGCAAGUCGAGCGAACAGACGAGGAGCUUGCUCCUCUGACGUUAGCGGCGGACGGGUGAGUAACACGUGGAUAACCUACCUAUAAGACUGGGAUAACUUCGGGAAACCGGAGCUAAUACCGGAUAAUAUAUUGAACCGCAUGGUUCAAUAGUGAAAGACGGUUUUGCUGUCACUUAUAGAUGGAUCCGCGCCGCAUUAGCUAGUUGGUAAGGUAACGGCUUACCAAGGCGACGAUGCGUAGCCGACCUGAGAGGGUGAUCGGCCACACUGGAACUGAGACACGGUCCAGACUCCUACGGGAGGCAGCAGUAGGGAAUCUUCCGCAAUGGGCGAAAGCCUGACGGAGCAACGCCGCGUGAGUGAUGAAGGUCUUCGGAUCGUAAAACUCUGUUAUUAGGGAAGAACAAAUGUGUAAGUAACUAUGCACGUCUUGACGGUACCUAAUCAGAAAGCCACGGCUAACUACGUG
rnacentral:rRNA from 1 species